UACGUAGGGGGCUAGCGUUGUCCGGAUUUACUGGGCGUAAAGAGCGUGUAGGCGGCCAUGUAGGUCCGGUGUGAAAACUCGAGGCUUAACCUCGAGAUGUCAUCGGAAACCAUUUGGCUAGAGUCCGGAAGAGGAGAGUGGAAUUCCUGGUGUAGCGGUGAAAUGCGCAGAUAUCAGGAAGAACACCAAUGGCGAAAGCAGCUCUCUGGGACGGUACUGACGCUGAGACGCGAAAGCGUGGGGAGCGAACAGG
rnacentral:rRNA from 1 species